rnacentral:rRNA from 1 species
AUACGGAGGGUGCAAGCGUUAAUCGGAAUUACUGGGCGUAAAGCGUACGUAGGCGGUUCGUUAAGUUAGAUGUGAAAGCCCCGGGCUUAACCUGGGAACUGCAUUUAAAACUGGCGGACUAGAGUUGAGUAGAGGGGAGUGGAAUUUCAGGUGUAGCGGUGAAAUGCGUAGAGAUCUGAAGGAACACCAGUGGCGAAGGCGACUCCCUGGACUCGAACUGACGCUGAGGUACGAAAGCGUGGGUAGCAAACGGGAUUAGAUACCCCGGUAGUCC